GCUGCCACCCAGUGUGAAGGCAAACGGCUUUUGUGAAAACAGCGUUCUUGGUGGGGUUCGGCUUCUCCGGCCUCUCCAGGUCUGGGCAGCAGAAUCUUCAUAGAAAAAGCCCCAUGGGCCACUCCAGUGUGGGUGCUGCCUGCAGCUGUGCCUGGCAUUGUCUGCGUGGAACCUCCUGCUGGUGCCAAAGGUCCCGAUGAGGCUGGGUGAGCCUACACAGUGCAGUGAGAAUGGCAAGCACUACUAAUCCAUUGAUGAUCGAUUUUUGAGGUCUCUUCACCAGCACUCCAGCCUAUGGGGAUGGGAGGAGAGGUGUGGGUGCUGGGACUGUUCGUUACCUGAGUGUGGAUAUAAAGUAUUGAUGACAGAAGGGUUUGAAAUUGAACUGAAAUGAGGUUUCUGGAUUACCCGUGGACUUCAAUUACCUGAUCCAUCUCUUUCUCACUGUGGGACAG
rnacentral:lncRNA from 1 species